rnacentral:tRNA from 1 species
GGGCAAUUAGCUCAGUUGGUAGAGCACCUCGGUCACAUCGAGGGGGUCAGCGGUUCGAGCCCGUUAUUGCCCACCA